GACGAACGCUGGCGGCGUGCUUAACACAUGCAAGUCGAACGGUAAGGCCCUUCGGGGUACACGAGUGGCGAACGGGUGAGUAACACGUGGGUGAUCUGCCCUGCACUUCGGGAUAAGCCUGGGAAACUGGGUCUAAUACCGGAUAGGACCCUGGGAUGCAUGUCCUGGGGUGGAAAGCUUUUGCGGUGUGGGAUGGGCCCGCGGCCUAUCUGCUUGUUGGUGGGGUGAUGGCCUACCAAGGCGACGACGGGUAGCCGGCCUGAGAGGGUGACCGGCCACACUGGGACUGAGAUACGGCCCAGACUCCUACGGGAGGCAGCAGUGGGGAAUAUUGCACAAUGGGCGCAAGUCUGAUGCAGCGACGCCGCGUGAGGGAUGACGGCCUUCGGGUUGUAAACCUCUUUCAGCACCGACGAAGCGCAAGUGACGGUAGGUGCAGAAGAAGGACCGGCCAACUACGUGCCAGCCGCCGCAGUAA
rnacentral:rRNA from 1 species